rnacentral:misc_RNA from 1 species
GAUGAAGAACGCAGCGAAAUGCGAUAAGUAAUGUGAAUUGCAGAAUUCAGUGAAUCAUCGAAUCUUUGAACGCACAUUGCGCCCUCUGGUAUUCCGGGGGGCAUGCCUGUUCGAGCGUCAUUAUAACCACUCAAGCUCUCGCUUGGUAUUGGGGCUCGCGGUUCCGCGGCCCCUAAAAUCAGUGGCGGUGCCUGUCGGCUCUACGCGUAGUAAUACUCCUCGCGAUUGAGUCCGGUAGGUCUACUUGCCAGCAACCCCCAAUUUUUACAGGUUGACCUCGGAUCAGGUAGGGAUACCCGCUGAACUUAAGCAUAUCAAAAGCGGAGGA